CAGAAACCAAGCGAGAAUGAAGGGCCUGACAACUAAUUGGAACAGGCUUCUCGCUAUGUGUGCAGCGAGGGUGGUGAAAAGCCCGAGAUAUAAGAUGACAAGUGUGAGCACGAAGUAGAGUCGCGUUUAAUUAAUUUUCCUUUCUCCCUUGGGAACCUAGCUGUGCUCGUUGUGAUACAUUUUGAGCUGUAAUCGAAGAAAUAACAGGCAAUAGCAGUAUUCCUUCGACUUGGAAGCGCCUUUGUGUUUUGGAAUCAAUGUGGGGCUGCCUGCUACACAAGAAUAGAGUGAAAACCAUAAAUAUAGUCGAGUUGACCUAAAGAUUAAACAUUGCUGUGAAGGCUGUAGGCCUAAUAAAUGUGUGGAAUCAAGCGUCACUGCACCUGCCCAUGACCUCAACUGAAGCACUGGACACCCAUAGUGGUCACUGAACAGACACAAGCUCCACCACCACUCACCUUCAAUCAUCACCUGAGACAAGAAAAGACUGAAAGAUCCAAAAGAAGAGAAUGAAUGGACAACAGUGUGUGAUCCUGUCAUUGUCAGUGAACCCCAGUCUCCACACCAUGAGAAACAGGAGUGUGCACCGAUCCGCCCGCCAAACCCCAGGAUUUUCAUUUGGAUCCAUUCUAUAGCCCCGCCCUCUCACCCUAAGCCAUGAGUCCAGUCCGUGCAUGACAGUUCCCAACAUCCCCUGCCAAAAGUGUUUCCUAGAUGCAUCAUGAUCCAUGACACUAUCAGCUUCCUGACCUCUGAGUUCUGUGUCUUGUACUUUUUUACUUUUAUAAUCCGAGCCUGUCAACGGUUUCUUAC